rnacentral:rRNA from 1 species
AAUUUGAAAUCUGGCCCUUCGGGGUCCGAGUUGUAAUUUGUAGAGAGUGCUUCGGGGGAGACCGCGGUCUAAGUCCAUUGGAACAUGGCGUCCCAGAGGGUGAGAAUCCCGUAUGUGACCGCGGCUCGAGCCCAUGUGAAGCCUCUUCGACGAGUCGAGUUGUUUGGGAAUGCAGCUCUAAAUGGGUGGUAAAUUUCAUCUAAAGCUAAAUACUGGCUGGAGACCGAUAGCGCACAAGUAGAGUGAUCGAAAGAUGAAAAGCACUUUGGAAAGAGAGUUAAACAGUACGUGAAAUUGUUGAAAGGGAAGCGCUUGCAACCAGACCUGCCCGUAGGCGAUCAACCGCUGUUCUCAGCGGUGCACUCGUUCUGCGAUCAGGCCAGCAUCGGUUCGGGCGGUUGGAUAAAGGCCUUGGGAAUGUAGCUUCCCUUCGGGGGAGUCUUAUAGCCCUCGGUGCAAUGCGGCCAGCCGGGACCGAGGACCGCGCUUCGGCUAGGAUGCUGGCGUAAUGGCUGUAAGCGACCC